GCACAAGAAACCACCUGGUGUCUCUUCGUCAGCUGCCAAGGCUCCCAGUGGUGGAGCAUCUUUGUCUGUCUGAGAAUGCCAUCGGCUCCCUGGGGGGACUGGGAGCUCUGGAGAACAGUCCGCUGCGCUUCCUAAACCUGACCCGCAACCCAGUAACCUUCACUCAGGACUACCGUGCACGUGUUUUCAACUGUUUGCCAAAGCUGGAGGUCCUGGAUGGAAUCCCAAAGCUGCCAGAAGACUCCCUGCCUGUCAGAUUCCCACCACAAACCACCAGGAUGUGUAACAUUUUAUGACAAUCAUCCAUGGAUGGAUGUGUACAGAGGCAGCUCUGGCAGUCCUACAGCACUUCAGCAGAAUACUCCACACCCGGAAACUGCAGUGACGGCUGUAGAGAUCUCCUCAGAGGAAAGUCAGCUGGGUAGUGUUUUCCCCUGCUAUUCAGUAACAGUAUUUACACAAACUGUCACAACUGUUGCCACACUGACUAUACUGUUAUAGCACUGCAAUGGUAAUGUUCAAACCACAUUCACGUCAGGCACAAGUAUAUUGCUGAUAUUUCUAAAGUGAUUUAUUUGUAUAUCCUUUACAGGUAUUUUGAUAAAAAAAAAUAGAAAACACCACAAAAUGUUUGAGCAUUUUUUUUUUACAUCUAUUUUAUUGAAGUUUUUUUUACUGAAUAUGGUGCAGUGCAGAGAUACAUACUGAAUGAUGAAGACAAACUUUGGCUUUGAUGGAGGGGAAAGAGAGGCUAAUCAGAUUGCUACGUGACUCAUCUCUGCCAGCUCGACGUCUCUCAGGACUUUGCUGAGCCAACACAUUCACACUCCUCUCUCUGCACCAAACAUACACAGAAUAUUUUAAUUUCUUUUUAGAUCUAACUUGAUGAGCAGAAGCAAGAUCUGAUUGAGCUAACGCGUUUCUUUUUAUACGUGCAGAUUUUAAUCGGUAGCUGUUUGCUUGACACGUGCAGUAUAUGAGAAGAAAAACAGGACAUCCGCUUUCGAGGCUUAUCAAACAUUUAGCGUCCAGACUCCCUUGGAUAAUGGCCUCUUGUGUCCUCAGACUGACUGGGUAAUGACCCAUGAGCUUGAUGCAGUGAAUCACACUCACAUACAGUGCAUGCACACACAAAACAUGUACACAGAAAGUGACCCUUGGUAGCUUGCAAAGCGCUCAAACUGCCAGGAUUGAGUGAAAGUAUGUGUGCUCUUGGUGAGCUUUAGAUUGACAAAUACAGCAAUCGCUCACAUAGAGUCGAAUCGCAGAGUUCACACCGUGGAUAUAUGAAAAAAGAGCUCUCGUACCACAUCCCUGGCUUACACACAUUGCUUCUCCCAUCGUUUAUUUAUUCAUAUGUUGCAGCGGAUACUCCUAUUUGAUAACGGUUUUCAUUUCCAGCCUGCACCUGCAACAUAAACACACUUUGUUAUCUGAUAUGGCAGAACACGACUAUGAAUACCGACACAUGUGCACCCCAGCAGCCGCCUAUGCAUGUAAACAUGUAUCUGGAGGCACAGGAGCGCACAUGCAUUCUCUUUGCUCACAGUAAUGCAGAGAAACACAAUUUAAGCAGCUGGUAUCUCUCUAACAAGCGUACAGCCAGGCACAAACUACCAGUUACAUGCCUCAUUGGGGUUUGUUUAAGUGUGGAAGAUUGUUUGUGCAAUUGUGUGUCACGUGCACCCAACUAAGUCUCCAGCUGAUGAAUGAGGGAUCGUUACUGCGGCAGAGAGGCAUUUUAACGAGCUCACCGGAUCCUUCUGUACUGUAAACAGGAUCCAAGUCAAGUGGAGAAGCUAGUGUCUUUAAACGAUGGUUUCACGGCGUUGUCAAUUAUCUUCGCCGCCCAUUUUCAGGUCACGAUUCCUUCUGAUGUGGCAGUAAAGUAGAAGAGGAGUUCGAGGUGAUUUUCGUGGGUGGAAAAAAAACCAUCAUUUCAUAGCUUAGAGCUUCAGCUUUCAAGUAAAUCUUGCAGCGGUGUUAAAUGGAAGGUUUGAUAAUGGGUGGCAAUCGUGUGGGCAUUCGUCUCAAGAUAGAUUUGGCUCCAGGCAGUCGACAUUAAAGAUCAUUCAUGGCUGGUAAUUCACCCAUGAAAUGACACAGGGAGCGCAGGAACGUGAGGAAUGUGGAGGAGUUAACAUCUCUGCCGGUCCUUGUCACUGUAAAAAAAUAUAUGUGUGUACGUCUCCCCGUGGCCCGCUAUUAGCACGGUAAUGAGACACCUGUUACUGUCGUACUCCUACAGCAUCCCACAAGCCCUCUGGGGAGAUCAACAAUCUCACAACAGCGGAGGGAUGAUGACAGGGUGAGGGAGGAGGGCAUCGCGAGAGGAGGAGAGAGUGUAGAGGUAGAGUCGGAAUAGAGGCUGAGAGGAGGAGGGAUGAUCUGAUUGAGUCUGUGUGCCGGGGACAAAUGUUGUUCAUUAGAGGUAAUUGCCCUUCUCAGUCAACCCCCUCUCGUUUGAUUUUCAUUUCGUCCUGAUUUGUCGGUUCAUUUCCCAUGUGAGCGAGUUCACACACACAAUCUUCUCACCUCUUCGUUCGCAACCAGAAGGAGCAGAUAAGGAAGAGUUGAAGGGGUUUAGACUCAGGAACAUUUGCGGCUCGCAGUGCAGAUGUGAACUACUGAGCACCCAUGAUAUUUUAACUGAACAAUGAAUAUUUAUGAUUUUUCUCCCCUCUGCCUGCUGCAUAUUUAUAACCGUCUUGUCUCUGUUUGAAAGUACACUUGUCAGCUUAAGUUAUGAGCUCGCUGUGAGUCAAGAACACGUCCAUCUAGCCGUUUUAUUAGUUCCGUCAGGGCAACAACAACAGUACCAGUAAGCUAAUAAAUUCCUCUAGAUCUCGUCGGUGCAGAUUACGCAUUCCCAUCAGCAGCUGAUGAGAGCUUCAUUCUUUGAAAAAUAUUUAUAGUAUGAAGCUGAGAGCAAUCAUAGAAAUGAUGAUGAGUCCACUAAAAACACAGUAACACCUACUGUUCUUAGUACUUCUGUGGUAAAAAAAAAAAAAAAAAAGAUGCCAUAAACAUGACUAAGCUCCAUAAACUUCUCAGCACUCAACAGAAACAGAAUGUCAUGGUUCAGAAUUUACACUUGAGAGGUAAAGCAGACAGCGUGAAGGCAAUCUGGCAAGGUGUAACUCAUGUUGUUGAAGGAGCAGGGGUAUAUAUACUAAAGGAGUUAAUCAAGAAAGUGGAUGUAAGUGUGCAGAUGAGUGGGGAAGAUCGGGUGAUUGAAUGGUGGGAAGACAGAGCAGGUGGGAGUGGCUGGGUCUGAAAUGACAGGAGAGUUAGUGAAUGGAAAAAACAAGGUGAAGCAUGGCAUCUAAUUUCUACUUUUUAAUGCUGUCAGAGCAAGUGUUAGUAGGACCGCAGCAACUCAGUUCUUUUCUAAAGUCUAUAAAAGGGAGAAAGGAAGGGGAAAAUGUAGGAAUGUAAUUCAAAUCUGAGCUAAUCAGGGCAUUUUUUUAGAACUGAUGUGUAUCGGCUUUAGUAAGCUUGAUCCUCAGCUCAAUUCUUUGUUCAUGUUCAGUGUUGCACAGGUGUUUUAAUUUGACAGCCCAAUUUUUCUUUUUCUUUGGAUUGGGUGCAAAAAAAACUUGGUGAGAGCAUCCUUGGAAGAGGGAUCUUCCCACAGCUUGUAGAGAAUGUCCUCCAGUCAGAUACAAGGUUGACGACUGGCAGGUGAAGUAAAUAAUCGAUCAUCUCGUUCCAUUCCUGCUGGGAAAUCUUGGGCCUUGGCAUUCAUGUGGAUCUUAACUGGGCACAAACCACCAACCUAAACAUUGUUCCAUAAAAAAAUGUGCACAGAUGUCAUUAGAUAGAUUAUAGUGCCAUCCAGGAUAUUCACGACACAAAAUGUUAAAAUGGGAAUCCCUCGCAAUGCUCAAUUUUUACUCUUUACAUAUACAGCUCCCUCCAUAAUUAUUGGUUAAGAUGUGUUGAAAGCCUUAAAAUAAAUUCUGUUUUUAUUGCAGAAGCAUACUCUCACACUGAAAAUUGAAGAAAAAUGUAUUAUAGGAAAAAAUUAGGUGCUGUUUUGUUGGCAAAAGCAGAUUGUACAAAGUAUUAACAUCAGGGGUGCUAAUAAUUGUGGCACACAUGAUUUGAUGUAAAAGAAUUAUUUUUAAUGUGUGAUUUUUUUUCCCCCCACUGAAUAAAUGCACUUGAAUUAAAGGUUGGAUUUUC